UUCUCAAUCUGGAGUGAGAGGUGAACACUGGGCUGAAGACAGAUGACCAGGCACAGAGAGACUGCAGAGCCAGACUGCUGCCCUCAGACACACGAACCAGCUGUCACAGCUGUGCAGCCUACAGCAGCGUGUCCUGGGAUGGAGGCUGUCCAGAAGCUGCCAGUGGGAAGACGGAUGUCCAGAGGCUGCCAGUGGGAAGACCGGUACGGGUAGGAAGACAGAAUGGGGGUUGAUGGUCUCUCCUGUCUCCAGCAGUGCCUCCUUCUCUGAGGUGAAACGCCAAAAUGUCUGGGGUCAAAGGUCAAGAUGGACUCCAUUGCGGGGGCAGACGGUGGGAAGACCAGUGUGGAUGGAGUGUUGGGAUGGAGGAUGAUGCUUUACCCUGUGUUCAUUUCUGUAGUUUUCCAGAAUGUCCAGAGGCAGACAGAAGACGGGUUGUCUAGUGACUGACAGUGGGAAGACCAGUAUGUAUGAGGGGUUGGGAUAGAGGUGGGAUGCUCUCUCCUGUGAUCUUUUCCAUUUUCCAGGCUGCCAGUGGGAAGACGGGUAUGGCUGACAGUUGGGAUAGACGUUGGUUACCCUCUCCUGUAAU